CUAGUCGCACGAGUUCAGACUCGUGGCAGAUAGCUCAGUAACACGUGGCCAAACUACCCUAUGGAUCCGGCCAACCUCGGGAAACUGAGGCUAAUCCGGAAUACCGCUUUCAGCCUGGAUGGCGAGAGCGUGAAACGCUCCGGCGCUAUAGGAUGUGGCUGCGGCCGAUUAGGUAGACGGUGGGGUAACGGCCCACCGUGCCAGUAAUCGGUACGGGUUGUGAGAGCAAGAGCCCGGAACGGUAUCUGAGACAAGAUACCGGGCCCUACGGGGCGCAGCAGGCGCGAAACCUUUACACUGCACGCGAGUGCGAUAAGGGGACUCCAGGUGCGAGGGCAUAUAGUCCUCGCUUUUCUCGACCGUAGGGAGGUCGAGGAACAAGUGCUGGGCAAGACCGGUGCCAGCCGCCGCGGUAAUACCGGCAGCACAAGUGAUGACCGCUGUUAUUGGGCCUAAAGCGUCCGGCCAGACAAGUUCAUCGGGAAAUCUGUGCGCCUAACGCACAGGCGUCCGGUGGAAACUGCCUGGCUUGGGACCGGAAGACCAGAGGGGUACGUCUGGGGUAGGAGUGAAAUCCCGUAAUCCUGGACGGACCACCGGUGGCGAAAGCGCCUCUGGAAGACGGAUCCGACGGUGAGGGACGAAAGCUCGGGUCACGAACCGGAUUAGAUACCCGGGUAGUCCGAGCUGUAAACGAUGUCUGCUAGGUGUGACACAGGCUACGAGCCUGUGUUGUGCCGUAGGGAAGCCGUGAAGCAGACCGCCUGGGAAGUACGUCCGCAGGAUGAAACUUAAAGGAAUUGGCGGGGGAGCACUACAACCGGAGGAGCCUGCGGUUUAAUUGGAU
rnacentral:rRNA from 1 species